rnacentral:rRNA from 1 species
UACGGAGGGAGCUAGCGUUGUUCGGAAUUACUGGGCGUAAAGCGCGCGUAGGCGGCUUUGUAAGUUAGAGGUGAAAGCCCGGGGCUCAACCCCGGAAUUGCCUUUAAGACUGCAUCGCUUGAAUCCGGGAGAGGUGAGUGGAAUUCCGAGUGUAGAGGUGAAAUUCGUAGAUAUUCGGAAGAACACCAGUGGCGAAGGCGGCUCACUGGACCGGCAUUGACGCUGGAGGGUGCGAAAGCGUGGGGAGCAAACAGG